rnacentral:lncRNA from 1 species
UUAGGGUAUAAGUAGCAGGCGAAAUGGUAUUUUAAGCAACUCUUCCAUUUGUGGGUAUGUACAAGAUUAUGUUGUAAGCUUUAUUCAAAUAAUCUGAAUUAUUAUGAUUAUAUUCUUCAUUGAAUAAUAAUGUAAUUAGUUAAUAACGAUGACUAAGUACUGUAUCGCGUUGAAUCAAAUUAAGGAAAAUGCCGGGUUGCUCAGCGUACAAAUGCAAAUCUAGAAUAGGGGAUAAAAAGGUCCGAAAAAUUAAGCUUACAUAAGUUCCCAAGAGGAUGAGCUCCUUAAAGGGUAAAUCCAAUAUUUAUUACCUGGUUAAAUAUACAUCUUGUCAUUUGAUUAAGUGAGUGGAUUCAAAAUACAGGGAAUUAUAUCCUUGGCAAAUACACUAGUAUGCUGACGUCACUAUGAAAAGAGUUAUCUAGAACUCCCUGUUCAAAAAUACUCCGUCUGAAAAGCAACCCCAUUCCUACAAUUUUCCUAGAGAUACCAAAUUUUUUAAGAAAUUCUCUAAAAGGGGUUGCGGCCUUUUUCAACAAUACAAAGGUCUGACGAAUGGGAGAAAAAAUGGCCGAAAUAAAAUGUAAGAGGCAAGAUGAAAAAAUAAGGCAACAAGAAUUACUUAAAAAACCCUCAACGAAACGUCCUCCUUGAUCAUUGUUAUUUUUUAGUGGAUAACCGGGCACUCAAAAUAAAAUUCCUGCUAAUGGCAAAAAGAGUGGAGCACUUAGAGAACAAAUUAAAAAUCGAAAAAAACAAUACUUUUGAACAUAACAAAGAGGUUGAAUCCCUGAAGGCAAGUUAUAAAAGGCUCCUUAUUCACCAAGAAGUAAAAGAAAGCUUCUUCCAUCAUUAAGUUUUUCAAAAUUAAAGAUUGUAAACCUUUUUGAUUUCUGGUGUGUGAAUUUUCUGGCGAAGAUCGAGAUCUCAUCGAAACUUAUCAAGAUAGUGUUAAUAGGGCUUCAGAUUUAUUAUUAUAUUUAAAUACAUUACAUGCUAGUCAGCUUUACAAUAUGAUAUUCUCAGCGAACAAACUCGAUAAAUUUUAUUGACGUCGACAAAUCCAAGACGAUGCUUUACAAUGGUAUUUGCCAAUUUAUUUGAAAUGGGAGAUUCCUAUCGUCCUAUUGGGGUGAAGUGU